rnacentral:rRNA from 1 species
UACGUAGGGGGCUAGCGUUGUCCGGAUUUAUUGGGCGUAAAGAGCUCGUAGGCGGCUCAGUAAGUCAGGUGUGAAAACUCCAGGCUCAACCUGGAGACGCCACCUGAUACUGCUGUGGCUAGAGUCCGGUAGGGGAGCAUGGAAUUCCUGGUGUAGCGGUGAAAUGCGCAGAUAUCAGGAGGAACACCAGUGGCGAAGGCGGUGCUCUGGGCCGGAACUGACGCUGAGGAGCGAAAGCGUGGGGAGCAAACAGG